rnacentral:rRNA from 1 species
GACAGAGGGUGCAAACGUUGUUCGGAAUUACUGGGCGUAAAGCGUGUGUAGGCGGUCCACUAAGUCGGGUGUGAAAGCCCUGGGCUCGACCCAGGAAGUGCACUCGAAACUGGAGGGCUAGAGUAUCGGAGAGGUUGGUGGAAUUCUCGGUGUAGAGGUGAAAUUCGUAGAUAUCGAGAGGAACACCGGUGGCGAAGGCGGCCAACUGGACGAAUACUGGCGCUGAGACACGAAAGCGUGGGGAGCAAACAGG